UCUGGUAAUGAUGGCAGAGAGGUCACACCCGUUCCCAUACCGAACACGGAAGUUAAGCUCUCUAGCGCCGAUGGUAGUUGGGACCUUGUCCCUGUGAGAGUAGGACGUCGCCAGGC
rnacentral:rRNA from 1 species